rnacentral:miRNA from 1 species
UGCUCUGUGGAGCUAAGGAGCAGAUUCUCUCUUUCUCUCUCCUCCCAGCUUCACCUCCUGAG